CACAGCAGGUACAAAAGUGUCUUAUGUAAACAGUGACUUAAAAAUAAAUCUGUCAAGUGCUCUCUCUGCAGUUGCUAGAUAUCCUAGUCAUCCUCUAACAGCUGCUCCAAAAAGGAUGUACAUUUUCUCAUUUUUUUAAUAUUUUGUAUAAAAGCAGAUAGGAAAAUCAAUAGCAAAUGGAAACCACUCCUCUUCUAAACGGAUUCUAUCCAAUGUCUAUUCCAGCAGGAAGCCUCUAUACGAUAGGAAGGGUUUCCAAGAGGAACCCCAGCUGAUGAAGCACCGAUGCAAGAAAAUAACAUUGUAUCAAGCAUGUCAGGCAGUAUUUACAGUCUUCACCCCAGUAUGAAUGCUUUCACAGAUGAGCCCUGCCAACACAGCCUUUGAUGUAGUGAGAUGGGAAGUUCGGCAAGUCGUUCCAAGUUCCUUCCCCAGCUCCUGCUUUCAUUCUCCGUCUUGUUCCAGAUAAAUGGGGCCCAGUCCUGCUCCACCUUGAAGUUAAUGGAGGCACAAGAAAAGGUCUCUAUUGCUCUAGGGCCAAAUCCUGCAAGGCAAGUGGUGCCCCAAUCUCUGAGGGUACAUGGCAUUUUGUAGAAGGUGCUCCACACCCUAGAGGAUUGGAUGCUUACAGCAUGGAGAUCUGCUCUGCAGCAAUGAAAUGAAAAGAAUUACUGGGGCCACCUUGAAAUGAUGUAUUUUUACUCCUUUAUCACCACGUGGAUGGGAAAUUAAUGCCUGAUGCCUGAUUCUGCAUGCCUUGCACACUCAAAACUCCCAGUGACCAUCUCUUAAAUUGUUUGAUUCAUGUAACAAUUGUAUGUUCAAGCAGUUCUUCUGCAUCAUAAUGUCAUAUUACAUAGAUUCCUGCCUCUAACCUUUGAAUACAUAUUUCACUUAUGUCUACCACAUAGUCAAAUCAUUCUUUUUGGAGUGGGGGUAAAACUCAUAAAAAUUUAGUUCAUGAGUCAAGUUCUGCUCAAGCUGAAGCUAAAACUCCCAUUGAAUUCGAUGCUAGCAGGA